CGUCCCCGCGGGGUCCGUCUGGCUCCGGCCGUCUCGUCCUGGCGGGGCAGAGGACGUUCCUGUCGCCUCCCGUGGAAGUUGCACCGAUUGCUGGUAGGAAAACUUGCAGGUGAGCCAUCCCACUUCUGACAUCUGUGAAAUAUCUUAUAAAUGAAUGGACCAUUCCUUCCACCCCUGCUCCUUGUCAGGUGUAAGGUCCUUUUCAAGUAAUGAAAUCCUUCCUGGAAUUUAUUGGUUGCUACUCUUGGAUUGCUACACUUUAUUUGUCAGAGUCUGCCUUCAGUGGAG